GAUGAACGCUGGCGGCGUGCCUAAUACAUGCAAGUCGAGCGAACAGACGAGGAGCUUGCUCCUCUGACGUUAGCGGCGGACGGGUGAGUAACACGUGGAUAACCUACCUAUAAGACUGGGAUAACUUCGGGAAACCGGAGCUAAUACCGGAUAAUAUAUUGAACCGCAUGGUUCAAUAGUGAAAGACGGUUUUGCUGUCACUUAUAGAUGGAUCCGCGCCGCAUUAGCUAGUUGGUAAGGUAACGGCUUACCAAGGCAACGAUGCGUAGCCGACCUGAGAGGGUGAUCGGCCCCACUGGAACUGAGACACGGUCCAGACUCCUACGGGAGGCAGCAGUAGGGAAUCUUCCGCCAUGGGCGAAAGCUUGACGGAGCAACGCCGCGUGAGUGAUGAAGGUCUUCGGAUCGUAAAACUCUGUUAUUAGGGAAGAACAAAUGUGUAAGUAACUAUGCACGUCUUGACGGUACCUAAUCAGAAAGCCACGGCUAACUACGUG
rnacentral:rRNA from 1 species